rnacentral:rRNA from 1 species
GAUGAACGCUGGCGGCGUGCCUAAUACAUGCAAGUCGAGCGAACAGACGAGGAGCUUGCUCCUCUGACGUUAGCGGCGGACGGGUGAGUAACACGUGGAUAACCUACCUAUAAGACUGGGAUAACUUCGGGAAACCGGAGCUAAUACCGGAUAAUAUAUUGAACCGCAUGGUUCAAUAGUGAAAGACGGUUUUGCUGUCACUUAUAGAUGAAUCCGCGCCGCAUUAGCUAGUUGGUAAGGUAACGGCUUACCAAGGCAACGAUGCGUAGCCGACCUGAGAGGGUGAUCGGCCACACUGGAACUGAGACACGGUCCAGACUCCUACGGGAGGCAGCAGUAGGGAAUCUUCCGCAAUGGGCGAAAGCCUGACGGAGCAACGCCGCGUGAGUGAUGAAGGUCUUCGGAUCGUAAAACUCUGUUAUUAGGGAAGAACAAAUGUGUAAGUAACUAUACACGUCUUGACGGUACCUAAUCAGAAAGCCACGGCUAACUACGUG